AGGGUGUAAACGCUGCAGACUUGGUGUUGGAGGCCCUUUGGGGGCAUUCAGUGCCGGAGAGAAGUUGUUAAGUCUGCUACUUGGGGAGUACGUCCGCAAGGAUGAAACUUAAAGGAAUUGGCGGGGGAGCACCGCAACGGGAGGAGCGUGCGGUUUAAUUGGAUUCAACACCGUAAAACUCACCAGGGAAGACUGUUACAUGAAGGCCGAGAUGAAGACUCUGCCAGAUUUUCAGAGAGGAGGUGCAUGGCGUCAGUGACU
rnacentral:rRNA from 1 species